rnacentral:rRNA from 1 species
AUUGAACGCUAGCGGGAUGCCUUACACAUGCAAGUCGAACGGCAGCACGGACUUCGGUCUGGUGGCGAGUGGCGAACGGGUGAGUAAUGUAUCGGAACGUGCCUAGUAGCGGGGGAUAACUACGCGAAAGCGUAGCUAAUACCGCAUACGCCCUACGGGGGAAAGCAGGGGAUCGCAAGACCUUGCACUAUUAGAGCGGCCGAUAUCGGAUUAGCUAGUUGGUGGGGUAACGGCUCACCAAGGCGACGAUCCGUAGCUGGUUUGAGAGGACGACCAGCCACACUGGGACUGAGACACGGCUCAGACUCCUACGGGAGGCAGCAGUGGGGAAUUUUGGACAAUGGGGGAAACCCUGAUCCAGCCAUCCCGCGUGUGCGAUGAAGGCCUUCGGGUUGUAAAGCACUUUUGGCAGGAAAGAAACGUCAUGGGUUAAUACCCCGUGAAACUGACGGUACCUGCAGAAUAAGCACCGGCUAACUACGUGCCAGCAGCCGCGGUAAUACGUAGGGUGCAAGCGUUAAUCGGAAUUACUGGGCGUAAAGCGUGCGCAGGCGGUUCGGAAAGAAAGAUGUGAAAUCCCAGAGCUUAACUUUGGAACUGCAUUUUUAACUACCGAGCUAGAG